rnacentral:tRNA from 1 species
AGGAGAAUAGUUAAAAAUAACAUUUAUAUUGCAAGUAAAAAGUACCUAUAGGUUUCUCUUA